rnacentral:rRNA from 1 species
UACGAAGGGGGCUAGCGUUGUUCGGAAUUACUGGGCGUAAAGGGUGCGUAGGCGGGUCUUUAAGUCAGGGGUGAAAUCCUGGAGCUCAACUCCAGAACUGCCUUUGAUACUGAGGAUCUUGAGUACGGGAGAGGUGAGUGGAACUGCGAGUGUAGAGGUGAAAUUCGUAGAUAUUCGCAAGAACACCAGUGGCGAAGGCGGCUCACUGGCCCGUAACUGACGCUGAGGCACGAAAGCGUGGGGAGCAAACAGG